rnacentral:lncRNA from 1 species
GUUAACUUUUUCAAUUUUCAAUUUUGAGUGACUCUUUUUUGUUGCUCUUAAUCAGUCCUUUUCAAAUAUAGAAAUUCAAAGAUGGCUUCUGUUCACUUUCUUAAUUGGAUAUUACAACCCUAGGUCGUUUUCUUUUUUCUUGGUCUUAAUCAAUCCUUUUCAAAUAUUCAAAGAUGGCUUCUGUUCACUUUCUUAAUUGGUUAUUAUAACCCUAGGUCGUUCCAAAAAUAUGAAUUGAUAAAAAAAAUCAGAACUGUGUGUUUUCUUCUAUCUUCUAUUUUCUUAAAAUUAUCUCUCUCUUAGAUUAUGGAUAAUUGA